rnacentral:rRNA from 1 species
GAUGAACGCUGGCGGCGUGCCUAAUACAUGCAAGUCGAACGAAUCUUCUUCGGAAGGUGAGUGGCGAACGGGUGAGUAAUGCAUAGGUAACCUGCCCCUGUGCGGGGGAUAACAGGAGGAAACUCCUGCUAAUACCGCAUAGCCAUGAGCACCGCAUGGAGCUCAUGCCAAAUAUCCUUUCGGGGAUAGCGCAGGGAUGGACCUAUGGCGCAUUAGCUGGUUGGCGGGGCAACGGCCCACCAAGGCAACGAUGCGUAGCCGGCCUGAGAGGGCGGACGGCCACAUUGGGACUGAGACACGGCCCAGACUCCUACGGGAGGCAGCAGUAGGGAAUUUUCGGCAAUGGGGGAAACCCUGACCGAGCAACGCCGCGUGAGCGAAGAAGGCCUUCGGGUCGUAAAGCUCUGUUGUAAAGGAAGAACGGCGCAUACAGGAAAUGGUAUGCGAGUGACGGUACUUUACCAGAAAGCCACGGCUAACUACGUGCCAGCCGCCGCCGUAA